GCUGGCGGAGCGGCCGGGCGACGACUUCGGGCUCGCCUUCUGGGCGGGUCUGAGGCUCGCGGACCCGGCGAGGUUCGACCUCCUGCGGCGGCUC
rnacentral:tRNA from 1 species